CUGAAGCGGGGCACCUCCUGCCCCAGAAGCGACAGCCGAGGGAACAAAGGUUUCUGUGUGCAGCUCCGGUGCAGGAACCUCAGGAAGUGAGUGUGUUCCAGCCUGGGAGGCCGGGUCAGGUGAGGCUCACUCCCCACCAGCCUGGGCGUGGGGCCCUCAGGCCCGGAAGUGAGAGCUGGGAUCCCCACUAUCUCCUUUCUGGGAGGAUCUGAGGCUCUACCCUGCCCUUCACGUCUGUUCCGUGACCUGGACAGAGGGAAGGGGCAAGCUUCCUCCAUGACCUGGAGCGCAGCUCCUGUGACGAGCUCCCCACCAGGCCCUGGAGUGGAGGAAGGAACAGAGAAGCAGACCGCAGGGCAGAAGGGACUCAGAACAAGUCAGGAAAAGUGUUGGAAGUAUGAGGAAGUUGCCGUGAACCAGCUUUCAACAUCGCACAGGAGAAGGAAAUAGUUUUUCUCUGAGAGGGUCCGGUUCACAUCACCAGUGACAUUUCCCGGAGGGGUUAAAC